GAUUAAUCUGCGUUAAGGGUUGCAACGACAUCCUUUUUUUGCUGCCAUAUAUGGCAAAAAAAGAUAUAGUGAAAAACCUGACCCUUU
rnacentral:sRNA from 1 species